CGGGGGCGUGCUUACCUGCAAGUCGAACGAUGAUCCGGUGCUUGCACCGGGGAUUAGUGGCGAACGGGUGAGUAACACGUGAGUAACCUGCCCUUAACUCUGGGAUAAGCCUGGGAAACUGGGUCUAAUACCGGAUAUGACUCCUCAUCGCAUGGUGGGGGGUGGAAAGCUUUAUUGUGGUUUUGGAUGGACUCGCGGCCUAUCAGCUUGUUGGUGAGGUAAUGGCUCACCAAGGCGACGACGGGUAGCCGGCCUGAGAGGGUGACCGGCCACACUGGGACUGAGACACGGCCCAGACUCCUACGGGAGGCAGCAGUGGGGAAUAUUGCACAAUGGGCGCAAGCCUGAUGCAGCGACGCCGCGUGAGGGAUGACGGCCUUCGGGUUGUAAACCUCUUUCAGUAGGGAAGAAGCGAAAGUGACGGUACCUGCAGAAGAAGCGCCGGCUAACUACGUGCCAGCAGCCGCGGUAAUACGUAGGGCGCAAGCGUUAUCCGGAAUUAUUGGGCGUAAAGAGCUCGUAGGCGGUUUGUCGCGUCUGCCGUGAAAGUCCGGGGCUCAACUCCGGAUCUGCGGUGGGUACGGGCAGACUAGAGUGAUGUAGGGGAGACUGGAAUUCCUGGUGUAGCGGUGAAAUGCGCAGAUAUCAGGAGGAACACCGAUGGCGAAGGCAGGUCUCUGGGCAUUAACUGACGCUGAGGAGCGAAAGCAUGGGGAGCGAACAGGAUUAGAUACCCUGGUAGUCCAUGCCCGUAAACGUUGGGCACUAGGUGUGGGGGACAUUC
rnacentral:rRNA from 1 species